rnacentral:tRNA from 1 species
GGGGGUUUAGCUCAGUGGUAGAGUGGUUACCUAGCAUGUGUGAGGCCCUUGGUUCAAUCCCAAGCAGCCCUU